rnacentral:rRNA from 1 species
UGUGACUGCGUACCUUUUGUAUAAUGGGUCAGCGACUUAUAUUCAGUGGCAAGGUUAACCAUCUAGGGGAGCCGUAGGGAAACCGAGUCUUAACUGGGCGUUCAGUCUCUGGAUAUAGACCCGAAACCAGGUGAUCUAGCCAUGGGCAGGUUGAAGGUUGAGUAACAUCAACUGGAGGACCGAACCGACUAAUGUUGAAAAAUUAGCGGAUGACUUGUGGCUAGGGGUGAAAGGCCAAUCAAACCUGGAGAUAGCUGGUUCUCCCCGAAAGCUAUUUAGGUAGCGCCUCGGACGAAUACUACUGGGGGUAGAGCACUGUUAAGGCUAGGGGGUCAUCCCGACUUACCAACCCUUUGCAAACUCCGAAUACCAGUAAGUACUAUCCGGGAGACACACGGCGGGUGCUAACGUCCGUCGUGGAGAGGGAAACAACCCAGACCGCCAGCUAAGGUCCCAAAUUACUACUAAGUGGGAAACGAUGUGGGAAGGCUCAGACAGCCAGGAUGUUGGCUUAGAAGCAGCCAUCAUUUAAAGAAAGCGUAAUAGCUCACUGGUCGAGUCGGCCUGCGCGGAAGAUGUAACGGGGCUAAGUAGUAAACCGAAGCUGCGGCAAUAUACUUUUGUAUAUUGGGUAGGGGAGCGUUCUGUAAGCGGUUGAAGGUGUGUGGUAACGCAUGCUGGACGUAUCAGAAGUGCGAAUGCUGACAUGAGUAACGAUAAAGGGGGUGAAAAACCUCCUCGCCGGAAGACCAAGGGUUCCUGUCCAACGUUAAUCGGGGCAGGGUAAGUCGACCCCUAAGGCGAGGCCGAAAGGCGUAGUCGAUGGGAAACGGGUUAAUAUUCCCGUACUUCUUACAAUUGCGAUGGGGGGACGGAGAAGGCUAGGUGGGCCUGGCGACGGUUGUCCAGGUUCAAGUGCGUAGGCUUAAGAGUUAGGUAAAUCCGGCUCUUU